rnacentral:rRNA from 1 species
GUCUAUGGCCAUGCCACCCUGAAUACGCCCAAUCUCAUCUUAUCUUGGAAGCUAAGCAGGGUCGGGCCUGGUUAGUACUUGGAUGGGAGACCACCUAGGAAGACCAGGUGCUAUAGGCA